AUGCUAAUAAUCCUAUUUUGCUCUUUUUGGAAAGGGAUUGAAUUGGAAAUUGUCAAUAGCUGUGAAAAGAACAAUGGUGGUUGUUCCCAUCACCAUGAACAUGCAAUUGGUACUCCCCGUUGUUCCUGUAACCAUGGACACCAGCUUGAUUCUGAUGAGAAAAUGUGCAUAGAUCUUGAUGAAUGUGAGAAUGGAGAAGCCUGCUGUGACCAGCUCUGCAUCAGCUAUUUAGGAGGCUACGAAUGCAGAUGUCAGGAAGGCUUUCAGAUCAGUUCCGAUGGUUGUGGAUGUGAUGCUUGUUCCCCAGAGACCAAUGAGAAAGAAUGUGGCAGCAUCUGUAAUUGUCAGAAUGGAGGCACCUAUGAUCUUCUGACUGGGCAGUGCCAGAGCCCCCCAGGGGUUCAUGGGAAAACUUGUAAAGACGGAAGGAAGGUCUGGUGCCAGUCAGAUGGACAAAAGGGUUCUUUUGGAAGAACUGCAAAAGGAAAUGUAACUGUGCCAACAAUGGCCAUUGCCACAGGAUGUAUGGCACCCGUAUGUGUGAGGUGGUUUUGUCAUCUGCGUAACUUGCAGGCAAUUAAUUUGCUCUGUGCGUAAAACAUGAAAGCACAGAAAAGUGCAGAGACUACUGUCACACAAAGGAAGAGGGUAAAAAAUGUUUUUUAUAGUUUUAUAUAUAUGACAAAUAUAUUAUAGCAUUUAGCCUCUUUGAAUUACAGAAUCUAGAUUUUGAUAAAUGAAAGAAAAAUG
rnacentral:lncRNA from 10 species